AGCGAACGCUAGCGGCGGGCCUAACACAUGCAAGUCGGAUGUGCCCGCAAGGGUGCAUGGCAGACGGGUGAGUAACGCGCGGGGAACCUACCUCUUUGUGGGGAAUAACGUUCCGAAAGGAAUGGUAAUACCGCAUGAGACCAUGGACUGGGAUGUUCAUGGUGAAACCCGGGGACCGAAAGGCCUGGGGCAAGGAGAGGGUCCUGCGUCUGAUUAGCUAGUUGGCGGGGUAACGGCCCACCAAGGCGUCGAUCAGUAGCCGGCCUGAGAGGGUGAUCGGCCACACUGGAACUGAGACACGGUCCAGACUCCUACGGGAGGCAGCAGUGGGGAAUUUUGCGCAAUGGGCGAGAGCCUGACGCAGCAACGCCGCGUGGGUGAUGAAGGUCUUCGGGAUC
rnacentral:rRNA from 1 species